rnacentral:rRNA from 1 species
UUGUUUUUUGAGAAGAGAGCAUCGCGUUCUUCUUCAGGAUGGGCCCGCGUCCCAUUAGCUGGUUGGUGAGGUAAAGGCUCACCAAGGCAACGAUGGGUAUCCGGCCUGAGAGGGUGAACGGACACAUUGGGACUGAGAUACGGCCCAAACUCCUACGGGAGGCAGCAGCUAAGAAUCUUCCGCAAUGGACGAAAGUCUGACGGAGCGACGCCGUGUGAAUGAAGAAGGCCGAAAGGUUGUAAAAUUCUUUUGCAGAUGAAGAAUAAGAAGAAGAGGGAAUGCUUCUUUGAAAACGUCUGCAAAUGAAUAAAUGAAAGACAACGGCCUUUCUCACCCCAAGGCGUUGAUCCCAUUGACUUUUUUUUCUAUCCCCCGCCCCUGUAGCAUGGGACAUACUUGUUUAAUCUCUCCCCUAUCCUCGCCCUUGUUUUCGGGGAACCCCCCGGGAUUUUUUUUCAUAAUUUAUAUCCUGACAAAAAGUC